GCCUCAUAAAAAGAUGGUUCUGGGUUCUCUCUCUCUCUCUCUCUCUCUCUCUCUCUCUCUCUCUCUCUCUUCUCUCUGGUUCUUUGACCAUGGGACAUUUUCUACCAUUGGAGAGUACCACAAGAAGUAGAAAGGCUCUUGCCAGAUGCAGCCCUUUCCAACUUCUGGGACAUCGUUCAUCACGACUCCCGUUCUGCAGUCUCUAUGGUAAUAUGUUCUGGCUGUAUCAGACGUCGACCACACUACUGACAUUUGAGGUGGUUGGUGAUUUACAGCAUUCCUCCAGGGAUUGGAGUCAUUGAAUCUCCUUUGGGUGAAAGAAGAGAUUCAAGUGGCCUUUGUCAAGUGGCUUCCCCUCGUUUGCAACUUGGCUCACUGAUGAAGCAGGAGAAAGAGUGAACAGAGCAUCGCUUCACUGUGCUGUUGAGACCAGCUCUAUUCUAAAUAGCCCUGACAUGUGUCUUUUCAGUUAUUUGUUUCCUCAUUAAUGGACUCUGUUUCCACACUAGUCCACCAAGGGCUAAGCACUGUGAUGUGGUCAAACAUUUAAGUAUUUAACAGAUGCAUUCCCCCAUUUAAAAUGUUUUAAUUAA